GGAACUGUGCCCGAGAGACUAGGGAAUACUUUGAUAGAGUAUCCGACGAGGGUUAAAAUCCCCCCAGUUCCU
rnacentral:tRNA from 1 species